CCCUUCCACCAAUCCAAUCAACGGAGAGGCCAACUAACACGGUGUACUUUUUCUAUGGGGAAUGUGGUUCAGGUAUAACCAGACAAUAAAAAAAUAUUCAUCAUAUAAAAAACUAGCAUAUACGUAGGACUACAGCAUAUCAUACAUUUGACAUGUACAUAGAGUUAGACAAUUAAAUGUAUAAGGUUAUAGGCCGAAUAUGGUUAAAAUGCUGCCUCUGCUGGCCCACAAUUAGAUCGUCUCGUUGUCUCGUUAUACGCUUUAUAAGUUAAUUAUAUUUAAAUUAUUAUAACCAUGGCUGUAGUGGUCAAAUUAGAGGUGGGUAAACUAUGAAUUUUGUGAUCAGACCGACCUCGACACAACGCAAUGCAACGCAAAGUGUUGCGACUCUUUAAGGCUAGCCUGGCUAUAUUCCAUUAUGUUAUCAAUUAAAGUCAUAUUAAAUCAAUCAAUGACAGUCAAUGAAUGUGUUUGUAGUUUAUUCAAGUUAUUCAAA